AUUGGAUCUUCAAUAGCUGCUGAACACAGCGCACAAAAUUAGAUUUUAAUGACUCGUUCAGCAAAUCUUGUGCGUGUGACAGCGGCUAUUGCGGAGUUUUCCAUUCUAUCU
rnacentral:pre_miRNA from 1 species